GCUUCUGCCUGGGUGAGCUACGUGGAAGACAUCGUCAGGUGGGGAGUUUGGCUGGGGCGGCACAUCUGUUAAAUGAUAACACAGGUGUCCUAAGGUGAGCUCAAUGAGAACAGAAAUCUCAUGUAGAACAAAAGGGUAAAAGCUCACUUGAUUUUGAUUUUCAGUAUGAAUACCACCCGUGAAAGCGUGGCCUAUCGAUCCUUUAGUAAUGGUGAAUUUUAAGCUAGAGGUGUCAG